CCCCUUGGUGAUGUAUGACUCUGCUCAGCUGAGGGGAGCAGGGGGCGGGGCCUGUCCCGCCCCUCUGAGGGGAGAGCAGACACCAAACCUUCUCUCCAUGGGGGAGAACAUCUGCCUUGGACUCCAAAAAUAGGCUUCUCAGAAUCCCGUCAAGGCUGAAAGAGAUGCCCUGCCAAUCCAACCUCCAACAACCUCCCUUUAGUCCAUGCUGAGCUCAGCUGCAACUUCACAUCCCAGCUCCAACCCAGCCUCAGCCCCGUGCCCCAGGCCAGCCUCAGCCCCAGCCUCCUCCCAGGCUCUGCCCCUCCACCCCAUGCCUGCCAGCCUCUGUCCUCUCUGCCUCAGUGCUAAGGACCAUUCCCACACUUUAUCCCCCAGCAUACUAUGGGAUUAAUAGGACUAAAUUGGGGGGGGAGAGGGGACACACAAAGAAGGGAAUGGAGGGAGGGAGGGAGGAGCGUCCAGAAACACUCCUUGGCCAAACCGUUCAAAGCUGUGUAUUUGAGAGAGGCCCGGAGAAUAAGUGAGGGGCAUGCUGUCCCUUUCACACCCACAGCCCUCCCUAUGCCAGCAUCUGAGACCCCACUCCCAUCUAAUGCCAGGUCUGGGAAUUUAACUUCCCUCCACAUACGCCCAGGGCCACCAAGGGGGUGGUGGGGUGGACUAGCCCUAGAGAAAAAAAUUGGAUGGGCCUCCCAACGAAGGAGGACCCAUUAAAAAAUCUUCCCGUAAUAUUUGCAAUGUUUUGUGACAGAGUCAGGCCACAGGUUCCCUUUUAAACAGCUGUGUCAAGUCAUUUGUACUGGCAUGCCCCAUCUCAGAGGCCCUGGCCCACAACCCCCUUUGGGAACCUUUAGGGAAAGAUUCUCUUGAGAUAAGCCCCUUUGCUCCAUCCACCGUAGCAUCUUGGUGAGGAAGAGGAGGCAGGCCAGAUAACCACCUUCAAGAACCACAGGUGUGCCCAAGAGUGUACCCCAUCUCUCUGUAUCUUGGCUUGCCCUCUGUGUACCCUUGUCUGUGUGUACCUUUCAUUGCGUGUGUGUGUGUGUGCACGUACAUGCCUUGCCUCUUCACUGAAUGGUAGGUUUUAGUUAAUUCAAUUGAUUACAAUAAUUAACACAACCCUCAAAAAAGUCCUUUUUCCCUUUGAAAGUGACACUUUGGCCCUGUACCAGAGAGGGGCGGGGUGGCUCCAGUCUGAGCUGGAAGAAGCUGACAUAGAAGUCACCCCUCGCACGAGAGGAGGGCAUAGGUCAUAGGACAAGGCAGAGUAGGAGGCAUUGACCUCUACAAGCACACACGUGUCCACCCGUGCCCGUGAAACACACACAUGUAGACAUGCAUGCAUGUACAUUUUGGCCUUAGCCUGGUGUUGUCCCCACAAUGGAAGAAACUGGCUUCAUCCUUGAUUGGAAAGAACCCAUAAAGGGGGCUUCUUCUCUCACUGUCCCUCCUCUGAGAGCCUCCUUGCUCACACUCACACAGACAUACACUCUCACACACAAUAUACACACACUCACACAUGGUGGAGCGAAGAGAAAGGGAAGAGAAAGGCUAAAAGAAGGGACGCAGUUCACUGAUGCUGAUGAGGCAGCCAAAACAGACCCCAGCUCCUCCGCUAAUGAAGGCCGCUGCCUGCCUGCGCAGUGAGGGAGCCCGAGCGCAUAAUAAACUGGCGCAUCCUCUGGGAGGAGCUGCUGCCCAAGUCACAGCUCCGGGGACCUGGCAGGGGGUCUGCAUCAAGCCCACCAGGCUCCAGCUGCAGCAGAGACUCCCACCCCAGGGACCAUCCCUUCACUGGAGAACUAACUGGGCAGCUUCGCGAGCCACGGCAGCCUCCACUACCACCCCAUGAAGCCGAGGGCUCAGGACUGCACCACUGCCCAGCACCAAGCAAUCUGCUUCCCUCACGUGAGAGAGGAGACAGCCGUUGCCAUUACGAGGGCCAUCAAGUGAAGCAGACAAGACUGGACAGGGAGAACCAGGUAGAAACUUUGGUUAGGAGAGAGAGAGAUGAGGCAGCACUUUCUCACGUGAUGAUGACAGAUCCAGGAAUAAGGAACAAGGAGACUCCGUACAGGCAGUCUGAAGAAGCAGGAGAGAUGUUUUUCCUCCGACCAGAGCAGUUUAGGAAAGGAGAACAAGCAGAAGCACGACCUGGGCAUCCACUUGAGCCUCCUACCUCUAAGAGGGAGACCUGGGGCAGGCACCCCUGCGCCUGGUGGUAGUUGUGUAGCUUCUCUCUGACCCUUCCCUGGACUUCCUGCUGAGACAGACCCAUGCAGCUUGGGGGGAGCCCUGCCAGCAGGGAGGCCCCGUGACCUGGCUGGCGAGAGAGUGCACCCUCCUGACCCUAGCAGGCAGCUGCACAAGCCCAAGAAACCCGAAGUCGGUAUUUCAGGUCUGCCCCCAAUUCCUCCACGCACCUGGGGCUCUGCGCCAUGACUCCCACCCAAGCUUUGGCCCGCCCUUCCCCAACACCCUGUGCAUGAGGCUCUGUGAACUGCCGUGCCGGGAGAGCUGGAGGCAGGGAGGCCAGCACCAUACACCCACUUGCCUCACUCCUUCAAGUCCCAACAGGCCCUGCCCUCACCGGCCUCCACAGGUAGGCAGAGCGAGUCUGCGUCUGCUGGCUGCCUUCCCUGGAGGGUGCGCAGCUCUAAUUGCUCACUGUCCCACAGCCAGCAGCACGGGGAGAGACAGCAGGCUGUAAACACUCACAACUGCAUGUGGGGAGCCUCGGCCAUCUCCACCUUCUGCACAUCCUGUGACUCCAAGACAUGCUUCCUCCGUGGUUCUCACUAGAAACGUGAGGGGAAAGCCCUUUCGUGCAGUCCUUGUCUUGGGGCCACACUAAUCUCAAGCUGGGGGAGUGGGGAUGAGGAAAAUCUUUUUUUCACAAGAGCUGUCCCCUAUGCUUUAAAUCCAAUAAACAAAUACCUACUAAGUGC
ensembl:lncRNA